CGGGUGAGUAAUACAUGGGUAACCUGCCUUCGAGUGGGGGAUAACCUCGGGAAACCGGGGCUAAUACCGCAUGAUAAGUCUCCGUCCUCGGAUGGAGACUUCAAAGCCGGCCAAUCCUUGGAAGCUGGUGCUUGAAGAGGGGCCCAUGUCCCAUUAGCUUGUUGGUGGGGUAAUGGCCUACCAAGGCUGCGAUGGGUAGCCGACCUGAGAGGGUGACCGGCCACACUGGGACUGAGACACGGCCCAG
rnacentral:rRNA from 1 species